GACGAACGCUGGCGGCGUGCUUAACACAUGCAAGUCGAACGGAAAGGCCCUGCUUUUGUGGGGUGCUCGAGUGGCGAACGGGUGAGUAACACGUGAGUAACCUGCCCUUGACUUUGGGAUAACUUCAGGAAACUGGGGCUAAUAACGGAUAGGAGCUCCUGCUGCAUGGUGGGGGUUGGAAAGUUUCGGCGGUUGGGGAUGGACUCGCGGCUUAUCAGCUUGUUGGUGGGGUAGCGGCUUACCAAGGCUUUGACGGGUAGCCGGCCUGAGAGGGUGACCGGCCACAUUGGGACUGAGAUACGGCCCAGACUCCUACGGGAGGCAGCAGUGGGGAAUAUUGCACAAUGGGCGGAAGCCUGAUGCAGCAACGCCGCGUGCGGGAUGACGGCCUUCGGGUUGUAAACCGCUUUCGCCUGUGACGAAGCGUGAGUGACGGUAAUGGGUAAAGAAGCACCGGCUAACUACGUG
rnacentral:rRNA from 1 species